ensembl:piRNA 21ur-4063 ncRNA
UUUGGAGACUUUAUGCAGAAC